rnacentral:rRNA from 1 species
CACGUAGGGCGCAAGCGUUGUCCGGAAUUAUUGGGCGUAAAGAGCUCGUAGGCGGUCUGUUGCGUCUGCUGUGAAAACCCGGGGCUUAACCCCUGGCUUGCAGUGGAUACGGACAGACUAGAGGUAGGUAGGGGAGAAUGGAAUUCCUGGUGUAGCGGUGAAAUGCGCAGAUAUCAGGAGGAACACCGAUGGCGAAGGCAGGUCUCUGGGCCACUACUGACGCUGAGAAGCGAAAGCAUGGGGAGCGAACAGG